AGCUCUGCUCAGUGGCGAUAUCGUAACCAAUGAGGUUUUACCGAUGUGCGAUUAUUGCUAGUUGAAAAAACACAUUUUGCAAGAAGUCCCGUUGGUCUUGGGGGUCUUCGUAGCCACAUUGGUUGCGCGUUCGCU